CUUAAAAGUUAGAGGAUAAUAAAUAAUAAAAGUCAAGUGUUAGUAAAAGUUAAUAGAAGGGUGCUGUGUGGCAGGUGAACGGAAUAGAUUCCACGUGGAUCGUGGAACAAAUUUGUGGAAAAAAGGCCUAGUGGGCCUUUUUUCCGUCCUUUAAGCUAAACCGGAGGCUCUUCGAACGUCAGGUUUUCCAACUUCCGA